GACAGCCGUGUCACCGUGCCAGGUCUGGGUGACAUCCGGUGACAGCGGGUGACAUCAGGUGACAGCUCCAGGUGGCAGCAGGUGACAGCCGUGUCACUGUGCCAUCUCCAUGU